rnacentral:rRNA from 1 species
UACGAAGGGGGCUAGCGUUGUUCGGGAUUACUGGGCGUAAAGCGCACGUAGGCGGGUCGUUAAGUCAGGGGUGAAAUCCCGGAGCUCAACUCCGGAACUGCCUUUGAUACUGGCGAUCUUGAGAUCGGAAGAGGUGAGUGGAAUUCCCAGUGUAGAGGUGAAAUUCGUAGAUAUUGGGAAGAACACCAGUGGCGAAGGCGGCUCACUGGUCCGAUACUGACGCUGAGGUGCGAAAGCGUGGGGAGCAAACAGG